rnacentral:tRNA from 1 species
CGGGGCGUAGCUCAGUUUGGUAGAGUGCAUGCUUUGGGAGCAUGAUGCCGCAGGUUCAAGUCCUGUCGCCCCGA